GGCAAAGUUCUGUGACGCUCAGACUCUGUUAGCCAAGAAGUCAGUGCACUACAGAACUUUGUCUCCGGGGGCU
rnacentral:pre_miRNA from 1 species